AUUAGAUACCCUGGUAGUCCAUGCCGUAAACGUUGGGCACUAGGUGUGGGGGACAUUCCACGUUUUCCGCGCCGUAGCUAACGCACUAAGUGCCCCGCCUGGGGAGUACGGCCGCAAGGCUAAACUCAAAGGAAUUGACGGGGGCCCGCACAAGCGGCGGAGCAUGCGGAUUAAUUCGAUGCAACGCGAAGAACCUUACCAAGGCUUGACAUUCACCGGACCGCCCCAGAGAUGGGGUUUCCCUUCGGGGCUGGUGGACAGGUGGUGCAUGGUUGUCGUCAGCUCGUGUCGUGAGAUGUUGGGUUAAGUCCCGCAACGAGCGCAACCCUCGUUCUAUGUUGCCAGCACGUGAUGGUGGGGGCUCAUAGGAGACUGCCGGGGUCAACUCGGAGGAAGGUGGGGAUGACGUCAAAUCAUCAUGCCCCUUAUGUCUUGGGCUUCACGCAUGCUACAAUGGCCGGUACAAAGGGUUGCGAUACUGUGAGGUGGAGCUAAUCCCAAAAAGCCGGUCUCAGUUCGGAUUGAGGUCUGCAACUCGACCUCAUGAAGUCGGAGUCGCUAGUAAUCGCAGAUCAGCAACGCUGCGGUGAAUACGUUCCCGGGCCUUGUACACACCGCCCGUCAAGUCACGAAAGUUGGUAACACCCGAAGCCGGUGGCCUAACCCCUUGUGGGAGGGAGCCGUCGAAGGUGGGACUGGCGAUUGGGACUAAGUCGUAACAAGGUAGCCGUAAGCUUGGAUCCCGGG
rnacentral:rRNA from 1 species